GAGCAACACAGAUGCAGUUCAGGCUGCCAAACGAUGGCCCAGGAAUCCCGCACAUCCAUUUCCUUAAGAAAACAUGGUCUCCUUUCUCCUCUGUGGUUUCUGGUGGAUUUUUACUCACCCUUGAAGAUUUGGAGCUAGCGACAACGGAUAAGAGAUGAGUGAAGUCUGUCUUUCAGAAUCAUAAUGUGUGCAUUCUUCCAGUCCACCAUGAUGUCUGUGAAGAUGUGGAGUGUGUUCUCAAACUCUAAAGAGCAGGCAUCUCUAAAAAGUGACUAAAUAUUUGUGGAAGCAUCUGAAAUAUGGAUAAAGGAUAACAUUUAUUCAUCAACAUUCCCUGUCAGUUGGCAGAAAAAUGGUUCCUGACUGUCACAGAACUAUGUCUGUGUGCCUCACCUACAAAAAACCCACGCAGGUGUAAGUAAGCCUGGGGAUUU